GGCGGCGCCUGGAAGGGGAACUUGA
rnacentral:piRNA from 1 species